rnacentral:rRNA from 1 species
AGAGUUUGAUCAUGGCUCAGGAUGAACGCUAGCUACAGGCUUAACACAUGCAAGUCGAGGGGAAACGACAUCGAAAGCUUGCUUUUGAUGGGCGUCGACCGGCGCACGGGUGAGUAACGCGUAUCCAACCUGCCCAUCACUUGGGGAUAACCUUGCGAAAGUAAGACUAAUACCCAAUGAUAUCUCUAGAAGGCAUCUGAAAGAGAUUAAAGAUUUAUCGGUGAUGGAUGGGGAUGCGUCUGAUUAGCUUGUUGGCGGGGUAACGGCCACCAAAGCAACGAUCAGUAGGGGUUCUGAGAGGAACGGUCCCCANAUUGGAACUGAGACACGGUCCAAACUCCUAGGGAGCA